rnacentral:lncRNA from 1 species
CUCACGCAAGCAUUUUAACCCAAAUCCUUUCGAAUAAUAACCUAAUCCAUUACAAAACGAUUUUCCCCAAGUAAGAUCAUCCCUAAAGCCACAUUAACUUCAGAGAUAGCAAAGAUAAAAUAACCCGUCGAUGCACUUAACCGUCCCACAUGCUACGUACCAAAAUAAAAAGUCGAACCAAUCCGGAUAGAUAAAUACAUAAAUCCAUAAUACAACUCACAAGCCAAGUAAUCGAAUUAGGGUUUACACAUUUUCCAGCUUCAAGUGGCAAUCCAAAAAGGAAAAUACAUCAGACCAAAUAACACAUUACAGCCUACAGAAUAAGUAUUAGAGUUCAAAUACAAUCCAAAAGGAAAACAUGAGUAAGCAUCCAGCUUUUAGUUUCCAGAACCUGUUAAGGAAAACAAUAAACGUGGGGUGAGCUAAAGCUCAAUGGUGCCCCAAAACAUGCAAUCACGUAAUAACAAACAGCGGUUAAUAACUUGGCAAAAUUAAACAAUUAAGAAAGAAGAUAACAGCACAAGGUAGGAUACGUGGGCUCUCAGGAGCCAUUUUUCCUCGCUUGAUCACCAUUUAUCGUAGUUGACCCUCCGUCAACUCUCACUACUUAUAAUCCAUGUAGAGCGUCUCAUUUUGAUACCUAACCCGUCACCAUUCAUACCCCUGUCCCGGGCCCGCUCACCGACUAAGGACGCAGUAUACUCGAGAUAUACCCGUAGAUACAAGGAAGCAGUAUACUUGCGUAUACCCUUAGAUAAUUGAGAGGAGUAUACUUAAUAUACCCUCAGGAAAUUGAUCGAGGGUUUCACCCAGCGACAUUUCCGUAGUUGGAUUCAGGAGUCGAGGGAUUCACCCAACGACGCAACUACAUUUUGAUUCGAGGAUUCAGGAGAAAAAUGUUUUUGCACAAGUCACCACUCGAACGGCUAGUGCGAUAAAGUACACACAGCUCACUUCGAUGGAUCGGAAACCAAUUUUUCAACUUAUCACAUAACAAGUCAAGAAAGUACUUUAAGCAGGUAAGCAUAGAACAGGCAGGGACACUCACCAAGAGUGGAGUUCAGAUAUCAAGUUGGGGAUCGAAUUCCGAGUCCUCGAAAAACCCUAAAAACCAAAAUUUGAAACUAUAAGUUUCUACUCAGUUUUUAAGCUUAUAGACAUUGAGGUAUAUCUAAUAUACUACUAGUUCACUUUCCCUUAGAAAAAUCAAGAGUCCCUUAGGUUAAAACUUGACAAAAGUAGAAGAAUUGUUUCCUAGAGUUUUCCUUGAGUUACUUUUCUUAUAAAAGGGUAACUAGUAUUAUUUUCUUGGAAUAAAUCGACAAAUCUCUUAAUAUCAAUGUUAGAAAGUUACUUUGAACAUUUCUCUAAAGUUACGGCUUUUGCAAAAAUUAUCCCUAAAAACUAUUUUUCCUAAAAUAGGGUUUCUUGCCGAGCAAGUUUCCCAGGCUUUGCACUAAAAUAAAUAAAACUCGUACUUGGAAAUUUUUCCUAUAGUUAACUAGCCAAGAGUAAUACUUAAUGAAAAGAAAAGAAAUAAAAUAAGACUUAGGGUUUUCAAAAGCUAUAGAACUUAUUUACUAUAGCUAUCAAGGCUAGUUUGAGCUAAAGGAAAUUAUCGGUUGGAAAGUUUUAGGCAAAACACUAGAUAUUGAGUUUUAUAAUAUAAUACUAGUUGGGAAAUAUUUUUGAUUACUUUGAUCACAGUUACUCGAGUUCGCAAGGUCGAUACAACUUCCACAGCUCCGAUUCCGUUUCGAAAUCAUAUUAUGGAUCAAAAUAUGGCAAAAAUCACAUAGCAAAUUACUAAGGCUUCGUCAAUCAUUAGCCCUAGAUUUCAACAAAUGCAUUUCUGAUAAAAAUAAAAUGAACAACCAAGGUUUCAUCAAUCAUUAGCACUUGGUUUCAGCAAGCCCAUCAUAAGCAAAUAAAAAUAAAAGUAAUGCCUCCAAGACAUUUCGGCAAUUAACUUUCAUCACCCAAUAGUACUUAUAAAGUCAUUCAAAUGGCCAAGGCUUCAUAAAUCAUUAGCCCUUGACAACAUCAAUUACUUCCAACCACAAUUUAAUCCAGAAUUUAAACCACAAGUAGCCUACAAGAUCAAACCAAAUCAAAAUUUAGUUUCACGAAGAACAGGACAUUCAUACCAAACCAGUCUACUUCCAAGAUUCACAGACAGCAGUACACAUGGAUGAAAAAUACGAAAUUUCUACAGGACAAAGGCCUAUGACUCUAGUUUCAAUGCCACUGACGGCGCCUUAAACGGAUUUUUCUACACAAAGAUAUAAGCAUUUUACUGAGACUGGUCAGGGACAUCCGAAAAUCUGAAAUUUCAAUUUUUCACUUGUGAAAACUCCUUUUUCUCUUUUAACACUAAAAUGUUUUUAUUCAAACCAUCCAUACACUUCUUAUAGAACUUCAAAACAACAUAUUCCAAGCAUUUCCAUCCAUCAUGAUUCAAGGAAACAUUUAAAAAUCAAGCUAAGAUUCCAACUCAACCUUUGACUAUCACAUAAGAAAUUCCAGCAACUAAUAUACUUUAGAUCCAGUUUUUCCCUUGGUUUAAACAGGGUGUUAGGUACUCAAAUUCAGCAUUUAAACACUUAGCUAGCUAUUAAAAAUUUCCACUUCAAAACCAAAUUCAUUUAGUAACUAAAAUCAUCCAGAAAAAUCCAGAAAUAGUUUAAAAUCCAAAAGAAAACAAACUGAAAAUUUCUGAUCAAACCUCUCGGCUAUUCCAGAAUUUUUCCAGCACUUGGGUGUUUAUAAAUCCAAUUUUCCUCAGCUAAAACAUGGUUUUAGAUACCCAAAUUAGUCAUGCAAAAACUUAUCUAGCUAAUUAAUAUUUCCAAUUCAAAAUUUAACUUAAACAACAGCUGCAAAUCCCCAAAACUUCCAGAAAUUUUGUACAGCUAGCUUCGGACAAACAUGCAUGCAACAGAUUGCAUUUCUAUUUUAUUUUUCUGGUUUAAACUAACUAAUUAGCUGCAUGCAGAGCCUAAUUAACUUGUUAUUAACCAUCUAAUCAUGGUUAUAAGUUUAAACAACAACAUCAACAACAACAACAACAAAAUCGAACCAAGUUAGGCUGCAAUAAUCCAGCUAAGCUCUCGGUAGUUUCUAUACUAGCACAUAUCAGAAAUUCUUUUCUUAAAAAUCUCAUCCGGAUGCCUAACCCCCACAUGCAAGUUCUUAGAUGACUUAACCUUAUUGUUAUUAGUUGGUUAAACACCAAAUUGAGCUCAGAUUAUCGCAGGAAGUCAGAAAUAAAAUUACAAAUUCAAACCAGUUCCUCGGCAGAAAUUUUCUUAACCAAACCAGAAAUUUUCUCUGCUUUAACACAUCAUCCGAAUGCACAAUUCAACAUGCAUGGUCUAAAUCUUCAAGUCUUCACUCAGUUAAAGGCACUUAGGUGUUCAGAUGCCACAGAAAAACACAAAUGGAGUUGCAUUAUCUCCUCAAAUUCUCGGUAGCAACAUUUUGACAAAACAGAAUUUUUUCUAAUGGUUGGAUUUCAACAUCCGACUGCAUAAUCUGAACAUGCAAGCUCAGAUGUAGCUUGCUCAACUAAUAAUCAUCCUACUUAGACCAGAAAUUACCUCAGAUAGCAGCUAAUCCUUCACACGAAAUAUUCCAGAAAUUUCUUCCCUAGCUCUCGGCCAAGUGCAGUCGGUGGAUCCUGGCUCCUAAGUUGCGGCUGGAAUUGGUUGUGGCUGGUGGAUUUGAGGUCGGUUGGUUGGAGUUGGUGGGGAUGAAGGUGCAAAAUGGUGAAGCUUCCUGCAAAUCUCCUCCCUGGCUUCACUCCAACUCACGGCAGGACCAGAAAAUUUCUGGCAGCUCACGCUCGCUCCUCCUAGCUCUCGGAUGUAGCUCACCAAGCAGCCCUCUCUCUCGGAUGCUCUCGGUCAAGGCAGAGGAAGAGGUAUGGUGUGGUUGUGGAGAGAGAUUGCAGUGGUUUCGGUGGAGUGUGCAGAGAAGGAAAUUGAGACUCGGUGAUGGUGGUGUCUCGGUAUCAAGAGAGAAAGCGGUUUGUGGUUUACUUGUGCAGAGAAGAAAGGAAGUUGCGGUUUGUGUUUGUGAUAUGAAAUGUGAAUUAGAGUGAAUGGUUUUGUGGGUUUAGCCGUGAGAUAGAAAGGAUGGUUUGGUGGUGCCGUUGUUUAAGAAAUAGAGGUUUCGUGUAAGAAUCGAUUUCGUAUAACAAUUGGUUGCGUAUCGAAUUGGUAAUAGCAAAUGUGAUUUGAUUUGCGGUCAGACGUCUUGUUUGGUUUGCAUGGAAAGGUAAGGUAAGGGUAUUUUAGUCUUUUCACUUUGCUCCCCAAUCUCCACUUAAUUUCUCAAUUCCAACUUAAUUCUAAAAAUUAUCCCCAAGUGCGAUUUGAACGCCUAAUUAUACCCUAAUAAACCUAAACCAUUUUUUUUAUCGAAUAAUUAUCGCUUAAACUUGAAUAUUAAGGUUCCUAGUAAUUCUUAUAUUAUUUAGCGAUUAAAUUAAUUAUUAGAAUUUCCAAUUAUUAUUUCUCAAGGAAUAGAGUUAGACUAACUCGAAAUUUAUCGAUUUAGUAAUAUACAGUCGAGUGAAAUAAUAAUUUAAUCCAAGGGUGUCAAUUUGCACAUAAAAAUUAUUUUUACGCACUUAUUUGAAAAUAAAGAGAGAUAAGGGUAUAUUUAUUGAAUUUUCACGCAUUAAGUAUGUUUAGUAUAUUAGAAUCAUAUUUAUCUAAAAUUCAUUGGUUUUUAUCUUAACGCGGAAAUUUUUUAUUAACAUUUACCAUUAGGAACUAAUUGGAAUUAAUCAUAGGGCUUUAAAUAAUUUAUUUUAAGAUAGUAAAUCUAACGAUUCAAUUAUCAUUAAUUUAGCAUAAAGGAAUUAAGUAUUCUAACAUUUUAUUUUAAGGCGAAAAAUUAUUCCAACCCUAAAGAUAUUAAUUUAGUCAAAUAAAAUCAAGAAAUUUCAUAACUUUGGAAAAUUAUAUUAUUUUUCACGUAAACCUAUUUUUACGUACUUAAUUGUGAACAAUUAAAAGUAAUGCUAGAAGUUAUUAAACAAUAAAAGAAAUGCAAAUGAAAUAUGCACUAGCUUAUAUAUAUCCAUUUUCAGGGUUCUCACACCAAUGAGGUCAAGAAUCAACAAAAGGGAGAAUUGAUUUAAAUUAUAUAUCAAUUUAGCAUACUAUCACAGAUCAGCAUGUGCCAACAACAUCUAAGCACCAACAAUCAAAAAUCACUAUUUUGUUACUUGAAAUGUCAAAAUAUACUGUGGUAAAUGAAAAAAGCUUGCUCAUAACUUUUCUUAAUCAAGACAUUGUUGGAUAAAAAAAAAAUAAGUGGAAUGAUUUUACACUACUAGUGUAAUUGUUGCAUUCUUGUGCAAAGACUUAAAUAGUUGUAUCAAAAUUUUUGUUGUAUUCCUUAACGGUAAUUGAUAUCUAGUUCGUUAUUAAUGUCACUAUGUAGUACAAAUUCUCCUUUGAGACCGACUGUUGAGGCCAAUUAGCAUUUGAUAUCGGUUGCGACCUGCAUUGACGUGCCCAAAUAACUCAAGCUAUUUUGCCAAAAAAAAAAAAAAGAAACUAAAAUUUUUAAUCAACGAGUUUUUUUUUUUUUGAGACAAUCAACGAGUUAAAUCAAGUUGCAUUGGCCGUUGCUCGAACCCUAAUUGUUUUUUGCAGUCAAUUGAACUCUGAAAAAACGAUAUCGUCAUCUUGAAGGACAUAUUUUUGUCAAGCCGGCUGGUUUCUGAUAUUAUUAUUGGUUAAGUUUGGGAAAUCCUCUAUCUUUUCUUUGUUUUGUAGAAUUUAAUAGAUAAAUACAGAUUAUAUAACAGACCGAGUGUCAUGCCUCGUGUGACAAUGACAACGUUGUAAAACAUAUAUAAAAUAAUAGUAAGAAGAGUAGAAAUACCUAAAAUAGUUGUAAAAGUGUUUAAAAUGUAAGAAGAGUAGAAAUACCUAUAAUAUAGAGAUAAAGAGAUAAGAUAAUGAUAGAUUUGAGAGUUCUAGUAGUCAAGAGUCAAUAAUUCUGGAGUAUUGAUUGACAGAUAGUACAUGUAAGAUGUUACCAAUAAUUUGUUAUUAAGCAUUUUGAACCCGUUACUUUUCACUAAAAAUAUUACUUGGUCAGCAGCUUAACAUCCGGGUUAUUACAAGUUAAUUUUGUCUUGAAGCUUCCUUUUCUAACAUACAAUAACAUUGCAUAGGCUCUGCCUUUCUUUGUCUAAUAUAUUUCUUACCACGUCAAUCAACUUUUACUAGUUGCUUAAAAUAAAUAAAAAUUCAUGUGAAACGAUAGAAUCUUCAAAUUUUUGGGUGCACGUUAAAAGGAAAACAUCUUCCUUUUGUUGAAACUUCCAUUUUUUGUAUUGGCUGGUACCAAAGGGACAAUUUAUGAGCCACUACAUCUAAUGGCCCUAUUGAUAUACAUUUUUUAUUGUCAUGAAGAUAAAAAGGCACAAUAAUAUUGUAAGUGAAACAAAAUCUUCAACUAAUUCUUUCAGUUGUCUAUUCUCAGGCGAUCCAGUGGGCUUUUGCCGUCAAGUUUGGAGCUUGGAAUCAGUCCGAAAAACUCCAGCAAUCCUAUUGUCUUGUAUUGUGUUCCAUUUUCUUUGACAAGCUCUGGUAGAGGACCGAUUUUUGCUGUCAAAUUUGCAUUAUGAAAUGCAGCAAUUGACAGCCUUUGUUUCUGGAAAUCCACAACAGCUCUAUGCUCUAUGCUUCUAUAUUCCCCAUUACUCAUUAUCUGCAUUCCACCAAAAAUAAAAGCAGCAUGAACUGAUAAGCAAGUUAUAGAUGUUCUUCAGAAGCACUCUUUAACUUUUUUUUUUCCAGUUGUUCUGUCUUUAUCUAUUCAUUUACUGAGUUAUUAUCUUUUUGUGGUUAGGUACCUCCAUCAUAUCACCAAUGUUGACUAUAAUUGCUCCAGGAAUGGGUUUAAUAGGCACCCAUGUAUUGCUUUUCUUGAUUUGCAGGCCUUGAACAUCAUUGACUUGAACUAAUAAGGUCAGUCCUGUACCAUCAGAGUGGGGAGAGGCACCGAAAACUUUGUCUGCUUGUCUGCAGGGUGGAUAGUAAUUCAUUCUUAUUCCUUGUAUGCCGUCCUGAUAAAUGCUGCAUAGUUUGCCUGGCUCCAGCCCAAGAUUCGCCUCGAUAAGUUUGAAGAGGCUCAUGCAAACCUUGUGAAUUUGAAGUGAGUAUUCAUCCAAGGUUGAUCUGAUAUCAUCAGAAAAUUGCAGUUAGCAUUGUGAUGAAAGUUUUGCAUACAAUUUUUUGGCUUUUUGUCACUUCAAAAGUGCUUUGUGGCUUUCUAAUGGAAGCAAAAGAUGCUUCAUAGUAAAGAAAAAAGAGUCUUCUGUUUUAUAUUGUGGGGGUAUUUUGAUGAAGAAUACAAAUAUUAAAAAAGUGAAUUAUUUGAGUUUUUACGUUACAUAAAUGGGUAACGGCUAUAACGGUCAUAAUAUGAAUGUGAAUUUAACCAUUACACAGUUAAAAUAAAUCAUUAUGUUUUGUAACUGAAAUUUGUAUGAUGUCUAAUUUAAUUUACCUAUUUAUAACUCUUAUUUUCCAAACCUAUAAAUAGAAGUUCUAGCAAUAGAUUACUUGCUUCUAUCGUAUAUAUAAUUUUUUAAGUCUAUCCCCUAUAAAGGGAUUCUUUUAAUAUUUUUUUACUACCACAAAUAUAAUACAUAAAUGUGUUACUAGAGUAUUAUAUGGGGCAAAGUACAGGACAGGUAGGUUUCUAUGUUAUUCUAUUGGCAUAAAUAAGAGUGGAUUAUAGUGGAAAAAACUGUACUGCUGUAUUCUGGAGGCUACCUACUGAAACUUAUUACACCGGAAGAUACUUUGUAGAAGUAUUAGAUCUUAAAGAGAGUUACCUAAUACAUGCCUCAACCCAUACCAAACAAACAUUAUUGGUACAAAUUAUUUGCAUUUUUUUAUACAAUAUUGAAGUACGAGAAUUUUUGUUAAUUUCCUUGUUGAAUUUAAUUGGAGAAAUUAUUGUUACUUAUAUGAUUAUUUUAGCCCAAAACCAACAUAAUUGUGCACACAUAGAGGAUAAAUUCCCAUGAAUUAUGGGAGACUAUCAAAGCAGAAAGGACCUUGACAAACAGACUAGCCAUCAAGAUUGAUUAGGCUAUUGAAGAGGCUGAUUAUAGAGCAGUAACUUGUUUUUCUUUUCGGUAGCGGGGAUGGGGUUGAGUUUAAAAAACAAGGAGGGGGAAGAGGAGAGUGCAACCCAUGACCUCUAAUUCUUUGAUAUUCAAUCUUAAUCACAAGGCCAAGGUCUCCACGGCCGAUAAUAGAGUAAGAUAAGUUUUCUGCAAUAGUGGGAGAAAAUUGUGAUAAUGUGUAUUAUUAAUGGUUUACCUAAAAGAUGUUGGAGAAUUAGGCCAGAAUCUCAUGUUUCUUUGAGAAACUGACAAUGGAAAGAGGAAAAGCAUGUCCCCCCAGUCCAGCUUUUGUUCCUCUGAUACAACAAAUGUUUGACCAUAGCCUUCAAUAUGGUUUGGUACUUGUGCACAGGCCAUUUUCUGCUCUAAUGGCAGCUUGAAGAAAUCCUCUGUCACCACCUUCAUUUUCUUGAUUACCAUUGAGGCGCCAUGGUUGACUAACUGUUGCAGGAUUAGUCAUGGAUCGAUAAUUAAUUUGCAAGGGGAAUUAAUCUCAAUAUCUAAGUAUUGCAAGUUAUUCUAAACGAGGAAAACUUUCAUACAAGGAAAUUGUGCCUGGCAAAAGUCUGUGAUUAACUUAACUGAUAAGGUAGUAUACAGAAUUUUCUUGAAUUUACCUGAAAGAAACCAAACUCUUUACAAGCCUGAUGAAGUUUUGCCAUCUCAUUUUGGUAUUCUGAAUGACUAGUUGCAAGAUUCUCCAUAUCAAUCACUGGAACCUGUGUAGACUCAUCGGUUGAAAUUUCAUCAAGGAUCAGUUCAGGCUGAAUAUAUCGAUGUGGGAUUUCUUUGGAGCAAUUAGAAGCUAGUUCUUGCACAUUCUCCACAGGGAGAGAACCAAGGUCAGGUCCAUUUUUGGCUACCUCAGUUCCCAUUGAUCAAUAAUGUCCCAGAUGUCAAUCACGACUCCCCUAGUGCUUUUGUUGUUUGUUCGAUCUUUGCCUUAAUUCUAUACUUCUAUUUUGGACUCUAAACUAUGCCUCCUUUCCGAUUCUUAUACUUGAAAUCGUCUCAUUUUAGCAAGUAAAAAACUAUUAUGCGUGCGUCUUUCUGUACCCAAUUCAAUGUCCCAUGACUUUUUAAUGUUGGAAACCUCAUGAUUCUCUAUUACCUGCUCGAUGAUGUAUCAGAUACCAAUCCAACCUCUUGUGAUACUUACUAUGCUAUUUUUUUUUUUUUUUUUUUGUUUUGGCCGAUACUGUGAGAGUGACUAAAAGGACAAUUUAUAAGCCACUAACAACCUCUGACUCUUUGAACAUGCAACCAAUUUAAGACCAAAAUGGAGAAAGUUUAUUGGUUGAAAUUCCAUUAAUCAUUAUUCAGGUCGGAUGAAAAUUGAGAAAAGAACACAUUACCUCACAACAAUCUUUACAAGCCUAUGAAGUUUUGCUUUGCAAGCUUUGCCAUGCUAAUCAUUGGAAUUUCUGAAGACUAGUCGAUUGACAUUUUAUCAAGCAUUAGGCUGGAUAUUUGAAUUUUAUUUUCAUCAAACUUUAACCAAAUUCUUCAAAGAGACGUAAGAAUUAACAUAUUGUCAUGUGAUUUCAUUUCUAGUUUUCGUAUCCAAACCAAUUGAAGAAUUACCCUCAGCAGCAUAUGACAUAAUUAAUUAGUUCAUUAGUCCAAUAAUUCAGCAUACACGGCCAUUUUACAAUUCAUAGUCAUCCCCUUUCACUUAUUAAGUGGACUACCAAGAAUAGUUGAUAGAGUCCAAUACCAAUUAUCCAUGAACAUUGCGGUACUUAAUUUUUUUAAUACAAAAAUCAAAUAACAAUGAUGAGGUGGACAGCAAAAAUAACAAAUGCAUUUAACAAAAUUUUCUAAAUAUAAGGUAAUAUUAAGAUAGUUAAUAUUACCCAUGUCCAGCUAUUCAUAAACAGGUAUGAAUAAAUUUAACUAAAUAAGUUUGUUUGCCACCUAUAGUUAUUGGAUUUACCAGAGUUUUGAAGCUAUGAUUAUUAGAUUCCACCUACUGGUUAUUAUUAUAUAUUUGAUCACAAUAGGAAAUGACGUUUGCACCCUUUGCUCUUGAUAUAAAUAACAGAAAAAGUCAAUAUUACCUAAAAUGCAUAUCAAACUGUAAACUUGAAAUGAAUAUCUUUAUGGAUUAAUUUUUCUUAUACUGACAGUGUAUACACUGUCAACGUUGGAUGAAUGACAACAAUGCAAAAUUUGAAUUUAAAAUUCAACUUUUGCACACAUGUCAUGAAUCAAACGGUGAUAAUGUAUACACUGUCGGUGUAUAUAAGAUUUACUCUAUCUUUAUUCGGAGAAGUUCAGUUCAUUGUUCUAAUGUUUGGCUCAAAUUCAAAUUUUGCAUUGUUGUCAUGAAUCAAACGGUGAUAAUGUAUACACUGUCAGUGUAUAUAAGAUUUACUCUAUCUUUAUUCGGAGAAGUUCAGUUCAUUGUUCUAAUGUUUGGCUCAUGUGCCAAAGUGGUUUUAAUGUUUUGAUCAAAAUAAAUUUGGUCACCAAAAUUUCUCCUUUUUUCAAAUUUAGGACAAUAGAUAAUAAUUCAAUAAUUCUCAUGGUCAAAAUCAAUUUAGCUUAGCCAAUAGUUUUGACUUUGCAUUUUUGUCCCCACUAUUUAGAGCAUAGUUAUUAAACCCGACCCGGCCCGACAGUUCAAUCGGUCAAUCCAGUGAACCGGUCAUGAAACCAGGCUGGGUUGUUAAUUGGAUCGUUUGUACAAGAAACCCGUUGACUUGUCAACGAACCAGCGGUUCAACCGGUCAACUCGGUUGAACAGGACGGUUUUGUAAGAACCCGGUUGUUGUGUUAAAAAUUUUUAGAAGAUGUUGCAAUGGAGAAUCGAACCUCGGCCACAAGAAUGAAGCGCGCUCAACACUGAACCAACAAAGUCAUUUGGUGCUUGUUUUGCCCUUCUACAUUAUAUAUUAGACCUUUAUUCUUAUUUUAUUUCUUCAAAACAAAAUUUUUUUAGAAUCUUUUAAUAAAAUUUUAUUAUUCCCCAAAUUCUAUAAGUUAUGAAUAGAUUUAAAAAAUAGCAUAUUACACAAUUCAUUUUAAAGACAAAUAUUAUUCUUAAUAACUUUUUGCACUUAAAAUUCGUAAAUAAACUAGAUAACUAUACUUAGAUAAAAUUUUAUACUUGAAAUUUGGUGGAUUACUAAUUAAAUUUAGAUUUUGUUAAUUCGUAUAAGAAUUUGGUGGACUAACUGAGUAUAUACUAUGACAUAGUUUAUUAUAAUUUCAACCAUAUUAAUAAUUAUGAAUUAUAAUAUUUAAGUAUAUUUAGUGACCCACUGGUUGGACUACUCACCCACUGGUUGAACCAGUAACCUGUUGACCCACUUCUUUUACCGGGUUCCUCACCGGGCCAGGUUUACUAACUAUGAUUUAGAGUUUGAAUUAUUAUAGUUUCUUAAGUUUUAAGUAUGGAUUAAUUUUUCCUACACUGACGGUGUAUACACUAUCAUCAUUGGAUUCAUGACAACUAUGUAAAAGAUGAAUUAGAUCCAAGUUAUUUUAGACGUGUGUUACGAAUUCUAAUCAAACUUCUUUUUCAUUUUCUUUAUUUUAUUUGUUUAUGCUACUAUUUCUCAUGUCUUUCUUCUCUUUUGGAUUUAUAAUUGGUCUCAAAUUGGGCAUACUUCAUUUGCUUAUCAUUUUGCACUAUGAAUAAUUAAUUGAUCAUGACUUUUCCCCUUUCUUUCACUUAUAUUAAUUGUUAAACACCCAAUUAAAUAUCUCUUUAAAUUUUGAGCAAAAUAUACUGUAUGUAAUAAUCUAACAUAUAUUUUCUUUCUUUCUUUCUGUUUACAUUUUAAUAGAUUAUCAAUUAAGUUUGAAAUGAAAUAUUUAUUGUAUAAAAUUAUUUAGAAUAUGCAAUAAAUUUACUCACUUACAUGAAUGUCAUAAUAAUUAAUCACUUAUCAUUGGAAAUUAGGUUCUAAUAUGAAGGGGAGACACAAAAGAAAAACUAAAUUCCUUCAAAUGAUUCUAAAUUCACAUCCCCUUAGUCUAAAUCCACACCCCUAGAUUAGAUGACAAUAAAGCCCAUAAGAGUUCAGUAGAAACUUUUUUCAAUGCAAAAACUUGUCUUUUAUGCAACAAGAAAUGUUUAAAAAAUUAAUUACAAAUUUUAAUUAAUUAAAAUUAUUUGAUACCAUCAUCUAAAUUAUUGAUCCGCUAGUUUUUUCUAAAAUUAUACUUUAUUUGUCAACUUUGAAGUGCAAUAUCCCAAAGGUAAAAAUAUUUUCUUAACACAAUUUUUUUAAAAAAAAUUCUCUUCUAUCCUCUUACAUGAUAAAAAGAGAUAAAAACAUUCUCACCACCAAAUAAGAGGAAAAAAAUAAAUGCCAUCAAAGUGAACGAAAAAAAUGUCAGAAAUUUUAGGACCAUUCAUAAGGAUGUAAAUUUUAAAUUCAAAUUAACACCAUCUCUUUUCAUCAUAAAAUAAUUUUUUAUUGAAAAAUUUCUCCCAAGCCUCAUAAAUGCUAUGGGUUUUGUUGGUGAAUUUGGUUAUAAGAGUGUGGAUUUAGAUUUAGAAGUUGCGGAUUUAGCCCUACCUAAUUCUUUUUUCAAAAUUCAUAAAAGCAUCUAAUAUUCAUACUUAACCUUCACUAGCUAUUUUAAUCAUAAUUUUUAACUAAAAUAAUUUCAAACAUAUGUUUAGAAGUAUUGCAAUAAUUUAUGCAAUUAUAGUUCAAAUAAAGUUAUGUAUUAGAAGUAUAACUAGUUGUACAGCUCGCAGAAGUGCGAGGCAUGCCCAAAAUUAUAACCACAGUGAAAUAAUCUACAACAGCUCAAUAUAACUUUAUCACGAACCUACAACAGCUCAAUAUGGCACUGUUCUUCUAAAUAGUCUAAUCGAAAAUGAACUCCUACCCUGAUGGCUUAUGCUACUCAAUCAUGAUGCAUAUCUCAUACCAAUGUUGUCAUUUGAAGCAGAAGGCCAUCCAAAUAUAUUCCAAUGGAAACAUUUUUACAGUUUGAUAAGGAGAUAUAGAUUAGUUUGUCAAGUCUUCUUUGGCUUGCAACUAUUGAUUUUUUCUAUAGGCAAAAAUAAACUAUUUUAUUGAUAUGCAAUCCUGCUGUACAAGAAGGAAAAAAAACUCCUCCUACAUCUAAGAUGCUUUAGUGAUCAACACUAUACACAAAUUUGUCUCUCUAUAGCUAUUACUGCAACUAUUACAUUAGACACUCCAUAGACAACCCCCAUUCAAUCAUCAGCUGCCAUUCUCUUGAGUUUGUGGAGCUUUAGGCUACGAAACAACCACCAUUUGGACCACUCUAGUGAUAGCUGUAAGGACUUAUCUAGUACUUGUAGGUACAUGUUGAAAAAUCCUUCUAUUCCUCUCCUACCAAAGACAUCAAACAGUGACAGCUAGAGAUAGCCUUCUAAUCUUAGUAGCAAAGGAGUAUGAACUACCAUAGUGACACCACCAAUCUACUUCUUGUUCUCAGGGUAAGCAUCCCCUAUGUAGCAAGCACAAUCUUUGCACUUUAUCCCACAUGCACCUGGAGAAGGAACACUUGAAAAAUAGAUGUCUAACAAAUUCAACCCCUUGAUCACGUAACACACAUCUAGAAAGUAUAUUAGUCACACCCCACUUGAUAAGUCUAUCUUUAGUUAUCAACGUUUGCUGUAACAUCAACUACAGAAUAAAUGCAUACUUGGGAACAAAACCUUUUUCCCAAACCAAGGAAUGCCAUAUCACUUUACUAUCUGCCUGAUAAAGUUUCUUCAAAGCAGAUUUAAUAGAAUAGACACCUGAACCACAUGCGGUCCACUUCAUAAGAUCCUCUCUAUUCAUUUGCUGCAACAUAGAAUUAGGAGUUGACUCUUGAAAGUCCUGAACUCUUGCAUUCAACUUCCUUCCUUUAGGCUAGGACCACCUUCCAUCCUUUACCGAAUCACUUACUUUAGAGGUAACAAACAACCCGAAAUUCUUCUAUAAAGAUUCAAGAUAUCUUAAAUACAAAGGCCCAAGUGCAUGUCAAUUGUCAAACUAGAAAAAAUUGCUCUUACCAUCACCAAUACUUAUUUUAAUUCAUGGCUGAGCAAGAUGGCUAAAUUGUAACUUUCUCCAACACCAUGAACAACCAAUAGUAGUUUUUACUUCCCAUAGACUAUGUCCUUUCAACAUCAUAGAAUAUAGCCAUCUAACCCAUAAAGUAUCUUUUUUUUUUACUUAGAUUUCAUCUGCGCUUAAAGUUUAAACACUUGUUCCAAUUGGCUAUGUUUUGCACUCCUAGUCCACCAUUCUUCUCUAGUUUGUAGACAUCUUUCCACUUUACUUUUGCUGCAUAGUGUGAUUUAAUUUCACCAGACUAUAGAAAUAAGGGUAACAUGCUAUCAAGCCUUUUGAGUAUUGCUUUAGGUAGUAUAAAAACACUAGUCCAAUAAGGCAAAUACCACUAAGAAUAGAUAAGAUUAGCUGCAACCAACCUCUAUAGGUAAGAUGUUUUCCUGUCUAACUUUGUAUCUUGUGCUGAAUCUUUAUAAAAACAGGUUGGCAAUGCUUGUAGUUGAGUUUUGUUGAAAUAAGAGGUAGACAUAAGUAUUUAACUGGUAGUUCAUCACUUGGCAUCUCCAAUAUGUUACACAGCUAUUGUCCCACUUCAUCACUCACACUAGCUACAGAUACACUACUCUUACGAAGAUUAGGCAUCAAACCAGAUAAACUUCCAAAUUCGACAACAGUGUCCUUGACCAUAAAAAAAGAAUGCUCAGUAGCUAUAGAUUUUAAAAACAAAUUAUCUGCAAAUGCAAUAUGGGAAAAUUACAAAUCCAAGAAUUGAGGAUGAAAAUCAAAUCCUCUCUCAGCAAUGCACAACUUCAGUAAUCCAAAAAAUACUUCCAUAGUAAUUAGGAAUAAGUAUGAGGAGAUAGGGUUUCCUUGCCUCAAUCCUCUUUCACUAUGAAAGAAACCAACCAAAGCCCCAUUCAUAUUAUUGAUAGAAAAUUGUGCAGUAGUAACACACUUACUAUCCAAUGCACAAACUUUUAAGGACAACCCAUAGACAGCAUGGCACUCAACUGUGUCAUAGGCCUUCAUUAAAUCAACUUUCACCACUGCCCUUGGAUUUCCCCCCUUUCUAUGAUAUCCCCUUACAAGUUCAUGCAUCAGAAGAAUGCUAUCAGGAAUCUAUUUGCAUUUUAUGUUAUACAAAUUACACCUGGUAGCACUUGUUUCAACCGAGCGGCUAAUACAGCAGAUAGGCAUUUAUACAAGGUGUUGUAGCAGGAAAUAGGCAUAAAGUCUUUCAUAAAAGCAACAUCCUUGAUCUUUGGUAUUAUAGUGACAGAAGUACUAUUUAGAGGAAAAUACAUAUAAUUCUGGUCAAAACAAUAUUUCGAUGCAUCAAUGACAUCUUGCCCUAAAAUCUCCCAACCACCUCUAAAAAAUUCCACAGUAAACCCAUCAAGACUAAGAGCCUUACAAUUCUUCAUCUCAAAAAUAGCCUUCUUAAUUUCAACUUCAAUUACUAGAGCCUGUAACAUCAAUUUGUGCUCUUCAUAGAUAGAUGGUAGAAGUACUUUGUUCAGUCUUCAGCUUUUUCUAAAGUAAAGGAUUCAACCUUACUAAAUAGCAUUUGAUAAUACUGCAUAGCAAUUUCCUUGACUUUCUCAUAGUCGUCCACACUUUCUCCUAAAUCUGUACACAAGGACACAAUCCUAUUCUUAGCCAUAUGGCCUUGACCUUUUCUGUGAAAGAAAGUUGUAUUUCGAUCUCCUAUAUUCAACCAUUGAACUCUUGAUUUGUCUUAGAAGAAUUGCUUUUUUGCAAGUACCAAUGCAACAUACUUCCUUCCAAAUUCAAAUCAGAGUUCAGAGGGUCAGUCUGCAAAGCAAUUUACAUAUAGUCCAAUUGUAACUUUUUCUUUGUAACUCUUAGCACUGAUAGAACUAUAGUACUCCUUGUUCAAUGCUUUUAGGGCCAUCUUCAUAUAUGUUAACUUUUUACAUGCUUUCUUAAUAGGAUUUCCCUGAAUCUGGUAAACCAUUGCUCCUCCUGAAUACUGCUAUACUGAUCAUGCUUCAACCAAAAACUAAGAAAUUUGAAACAUUUAGCUCCAAAGUUCACAUCAAUGCAGGAAUGAUUCGAUACGCUGAGAUGUAAAAGUUCAACUUCCACAACUGGAACAGAAGAAAACCACUAAUCAUUUACCAACAACUUAUCAGUCUUAUUAUAAAUCCUCACCCCAUUAUCUCUAAGAUUGCACUAGGUGUAAUACACUUUUUUACUAGGAAAUUCUACAACAACCAACGCUUCAAUGUAAUUAUCAAAUCAUUUAUUGUAUUAAAAUCAUAAUCAGAACUACCAUGCCUUUGCUCUAUAUGUCUAAUAGUAUUAAAAUCUCCCGUAAUAAUCCAACGAUUCUCUCCAAUUUGUUGUUUAACUUCUAGCAAAUGCUGCCAUAAAGGCUUUCUAUUCUCUAGUUUGUUCAUACCAUACACCAUGGUUAUUACAAAAGGAUCCAUAUACUUUAUAGUUUGAACCAAACAAGAAAUAGCCUGUUGAUACAAUACAAGGGGCUAACAAUGCACAUUCAUCUCAUUCCAGCAAAAUAACACUCUAGCAAUAAUUGCAGUAGUAACAUUACAAAUGUAUCUCUAUCCAGGAAACCAAGUAUUCAGAACACUAUCUAUGUUCUGCAUUUUCACUUUAUUUUCAACUACUCCUAUAAUAUCUAUAUGCAAAUCAGACACCAACUUUCUUAUAACUAAUUGUUUAAUAGGUCUAUUAAGACCUCUUAUGUUCUAGUAGACAAUUUUCAUAAUAAUUGAAGGAUAUUCUUCCCUUUACCUCGUGCCUCUGUUUUGCACUCUAGUAGUUUUAGGUAUCUCACUAGUUUGCACCUCCAUUGUAGUUGUUAGGGAUGAGAAUCUAUUCUCAAUGGGUAGAUCAAUCACAAUGCUACUAUUAAUAGGUAGAGUUAUGCACUAAUAAUUAGUAGAAAUUAUUUCACAAUCAUUCUUGCACUACUGAGACAUAGGUUUUCAACAAACUAUUGGAUUUAGCAUUAUCAACCAUAACACCAUCAGAGUCCUCUACAUCCUCUAUCACCUGCAUCACUUCAUCGACAACAAAUUGUUAAACCUCAUAUUGCACUUGUUCUAGUUGGGUAGGCAAUUUUUCUUGCUAAACUUUGGGAAUCCAUUUAUUAACCACCCAAGAGUGACAUGGACAUUUAUUUGAAGUAUGCCCAAAACACUUAACAGUGGGCACAACUGGCUAGGAUCCAUUCAUACUUGAUAGAAUGUAUAUUGGUUAAUGAAAUUGCUAAUAUUUUUUUGUUACUUUGGCCAAAUAUUGCAUUAUUGGAUUGAUUAUACCCAUAUUUGGCAAUUGAUGUUGAUUGUAGGAAUUUGGAAUAAAAAAGUGUGAAAAAGGAUUAAAUGAAAAGAUAUUUUCGGCAGAAGACUCUUAGCUUGUUCCACAUGGGUGUGCCUGAGUCAGGUACCCAAGUCCGAAGAAGCGGGAUUCCAGCUGACAAAGAAGUUGCCUAUUCCAAUUCAACUUCUAAUUGUAUCUUGGCAAAAAGGUGCAGACGUUAGUCCUUAUUAAUAGGUAUCGGUGGUUAGUUAGGAAAUAGAUACUCUUUUCCUAUAAGGAGUAGGAUUUUAAUUUUCCUUUUUAACAAUUGAUGAGUAGCAACAAAGUAGGAGAAGAGAGACAUCUUUUGUUUCGGGGAAAAUUGGCUAUUAGUCUUGGCACCAAAGAAACAACGAGCCUUUCUUCUUUUUUCUUUUGUUUUCUAAUUGACGAAUGGUGUUUGCAACUUUUAUCAAGGAAUUUGCAUGGAUUUUUCCCAAUGAAGAGCAACUAAUUUUCUUAUUCUAAUCAAGGAUAAUAAAGGAUUUGGUUCAAUUACAACUGUGAGAUCUAAUUGUUUUUAUCUAUUCUUUUAUUCGUUACUAUUUGUAAAUUUUCUGAUUUAAUUUCUCAUGGUUGCUUUGUUAUUUAAUUUGAAUAUCGAGGGCCCUAUAUUUAAUUCAACCUAACAAUCUAUUGCCAGUUAAGACAGUUAAAUUUGUAAUUGUUAAAUUGUGUUAAAUUAGUGAUAACUAGCAUGAUUGGUUUCAUGUUAGAGAAACAUAUGAUCUAAUUUAAAUAAACCCUCGUAGUGUGUUUAUUGAUUAGAACAGGGCUUUUCUAGUUUUUAAUGCAACUAAGAAAUUAAAUCCUACAGGCAUACCUAGGGUUAUUUCUUGAUUAGAGAAAUAGUUAACGGGCAUACCUUAACUAUCGACACGGUAAGAAAAAGUUGAUUAGCAUCACCUGUUUGGCAAUUAUAACCUGUUUGUUAAUGAAUAUAUAAAAUAAUUAUUGCAUCAAUAAACAAUUGUAUGAACCACUUCUGAAGUUUCUCCUUGGCUAGAACUUGCUUAUUAUUGAUUUAAUUUUAACUCUCUUCUAUUUGGUUGUUUUUAUUUAUGGUGAUUAUUUAUUUUAAUUUUCCAAAGCCCCAUUUAAUUCUCACUUGGAAGAAAACAAAUUUUCCCUAAUCCCUAUGGAGAUGACCCUACUUAUCAUUAUAUUCAAUUAUAUAUUUUCAUGAGUAGAAAUUUAUUAUUGAAUAAUUUCGACACCUAUCAAUACUCAACUAGCUUAUUAUCUUCCUCGCCGAAUUCAUUAACAAAUAGAAUGAUAGAAGGCCUCAAAGCAUUAAUAUCUCAUUCUACAUAUGCAUGAGCACAUGCAACCCUUGUUUGUGAUGUAGUGAACUGAUUUGUAUACAAUGGCCUAGCCACAAAACUAGCUAGUUUGCUAAGGGAACCAGAGAAGUAAUAAUGCAACUUCAAACCAGGGAAUCUAAUCCAAACAGGGAUAAUUUAGGAAUCAUCCUUUUGCAUAUCAACUUCUGGACUCCUAGUACUAAGUUCAAAUUUUUAUAUUCUAUUUGUUCAAUUAUUAAAUAGUAUGUGAUUUUGUGAUAUAGAGCAUGGAUGGGAAAAAAAUUGGUAAUCAGACUUAUUGAGAAUUAUAAGUAAAUAUUUAAAACUAAUGAUCGGUGCCAAGGAUGGUAUAAAUUAAUAAUUUAGUUUGCAAAAAUUAAUUUAAAUGAUUUUACAAAAAGUUAAAAUAAAUGGGUUACAAAUAGGUAAUUGGGUUACCCAACUCAUUUUUUAACUUACCCAUUUAUAUCCACCAAAUUAAAUGGGUAUAAAUGAGUUGAUUCACUUAUACCCAUUACCCAUUUCAACCCGUCUAAAUCACCCAUUUUGACACCUCUACUUAUGAUGAAUUUGCUCCAACACUAAAGGCAAUCUUCUACAGGAUGUAAUAAAACUAUUCUCUUGAUUUCUCAAAACAAAGUGUAAAAACCGUACUUCAAUUCUGAUUGAAUCCUCAUUAUAGAUGUUAAAAGAGGUGUUUGAAGAGUUAUUUUUAUGUUUUAGAUAGUGGAUAAUAAUGGUUACAAGUACCCGACUUGGAAUGACAGAACAUUUGAGUCCAAACGGAUCAUAAUGUCUAGAGAGCUACGCCUACGUUAAAUCUUGACACAGUUCGGACUUCAAAACAUUUAGUUUGGGCCACGAACAUCCACUUUGACAGAUUUGCAUAGUUUUUGCAAACAACUCAAUAAACCCCCACUAAUUUGCAAAAUUUAUGCAUCUUAACCCAUGGAGUCUUCAAUGGUACAACUUUAACCGAAGAAUAUUAAGCAUAAUUAGAAGUAUAUCUUGAUCUAAACUUCCAACGGGUGUAGGUGACUUAAAUUUUGAAUGGAGUUAGAUGUGAGCGUUCUUAAAUUAAACUAUAACUCUUAUAUGUCAAAAACCAAAACACAACACAAUUAACGAUUGUCUUCUUUUUUGAAGAGGUUAAUAUGAACUUUAAUUAGAACUAUUUUAGCCACAUGCUAAUCCUAAUUUCACAAUCAUCUACAAAAGCAUACUCAAGCUCUUGUUGAGAUGACAUCACUUCAAUAUUUAUAUAGGUGAAAUUGUACUUGUAGAGUUCUAUGUUUAUGUCCUUCAAAAACAACAGCAGUCCCACUCAUGGGAGUACUUGUAAUAUCGUGGUUGGCAGUUAUGAUUGUGAACUAAAAUGCUGCACCAAUUUUGCUCAAAAAGUCACUAUUUAGGUUCCCAAACAGCAACAGGAUGCUAUCCACUAAAUCUGAGGUAUGAUAGGUAAAAACUACCGUCUUUUUAAGACAGAAUCAUCAUCAAGCUGGGUUGAGAAUAUACCACAACCAAAGCAUGAUAAUCUAAAAAUUGCCGAUUAAACCUCCAUUCCAUUCUCAAUAUGCUCAGAAGGGGAGGAUUUUGAUAGAUUUUAAAUUGUAAAAACACAUUAAGGUUUUAUUUGUCUCCAUCAUGAAUAUGGUGUGCUUUUGAGUUCCGACAAAUUACAUUCAAGAUAUAAAAAUAAAAUCUAAAAAAAAUUAGACAACAAAAUUUAUGUUUUCUUAUCUGUAGAUCAACAAAUGCAGAAGUUAAUAAUCCUUGGGUUUUUUUUUUUAAGCAAGACCCGCGCUACGGGUAGGGAUGCCAGCCCCAAAUUUUAUUAAGAACCAGCAACAUUAUAACAAGUUCGAAUACACAAACCGUUAAAUCCCCCGAUCACUGAGAGACUACCCUUUGUCCACUUGCCUGCGUACAUAGCAAAACUCUCGACUAUCAAGGCUUAGAGCUGCACGAAUCCUUCCAGGAAGCUGAUCUUGCGAGGUACAAAACAACUCGGUUGGAAGCCUCAGCUUAGAUAGCAUAUCAGCAAUGGAAUAAUCCUUGGGUUAAUAAUCCUUGUAGAAUAUUUUUUAUUAAAUAGUUAUGCCAUUCUAUUUAAUCAUUUUCAAGAGUUGAGCUAAAAAAAAAAUUUUAUUACUGUAAUGGUCAUGAAUUUUUUGUAUUUAAUUACAAUUUUCUAACUUCAAAAAUUGUUUGCAUGAUUAUAUCGGUUGUACAAAUUAGUUCAUGGUUGAGAAAUCAAUUUUUUUUGUCUUAUAGUAUGAAAACCAGAAUUGUCUACAACUUUUGAUGGUUAAUAACUGGUUAAUGGUUUCUCGAUUAAAAAUGUUUGUUCAUGAUGCAAAAUAUCUAUUGCAUGCUUACAUUGCAUUGGAACUGAUAUAAGGGUUCACUUUUUGGAUGGUAGAUGAGACUAUCUCAAGAUCGUGUUAAGAAUAAAAAAUGGUACCACGUGUAAAAAUUCCUAUCAGAGAUUUGGGAUUGCAAAAAUGACUUAAAAUUUGUAUCGAACCACAAAAUUCUCUAUCAAAGAUUUGGGAUUGCAACAUGACCAAAUAAAUACGCACAUAACUGUAAUUCCAUCCACCAGAAGUGCACAAAACCACUCCUGAUGUCCAUCUUACUUACGCAUAGGAUCAAACAUCAAAUUGCUUGGCAAAUCUCUUGUAUAGUUCCAAAUCCUUGUGAAAGAAUGGCCUCAUAGCCAAGCCAGACACCAAUAUUAUUGACUAGGAACGUAUGUCAAGCAAAUUUCUUUAUGAUUUACAAAGUCGAAGGUAUCGAACCAGUGAGGCUGUUUCUGCCCAAGUCCAAAUGAGACAGAUAUUCCAAAGAAAACAAUGACCUUGGAAUGCUUCCAAUGAAGUUACUGCUCUUCAAACUGAUGUAUGUUGUGCUUCGGUAAUUCAUCCAACAAUCAGGAAUUUCUGCUGAUAGAAUUCUUUUUAAGAUCCAGAACUAUAAGACCUAGUUUUCUAUUCUUCACUUCACAAAAAAAGUGAGAAAUAUCUCCUGAAAACAAAUAGUUCGAAAGGUCUAAUUGUAUGAGACAAUGAGAAAUUAAUUGUGCUAGUGGGCUACUGAAUCUGUUUGACUAUAGUACAUAUAUAAUCUUUUAAUAAUUUCAAAGAAAUUUGAACUCUUACUAUGAAGUUGAUUAUGAGAAAGAGAUAUGACUCCUGUUGCUGAGUUGAAUAACCAAGGAGGGAUAGUAUUUGAAAUUCCUGUGGAGGUCAAGUUCAAAUACUGAAGGUUUUUUUUUUUUUUUUUUUUUUGCAAUUGGAGCUAGGAAAUUGAAGGCCAAGAUUCCAAGAACCUAAUCCAAGUCUUCCAAAUUGGACAGGAGGAUUCCAACUUGCACUUGCUUUUAAGGUCAAGGAGUUUCUAAAUGCAUCAAAAUACUUUAAACUUGUCAAAUUGUCAAGUAAAAUCCCACUCACCAGGAAGCCGCAAAGGAGAGCCAGGAUACCUAUUUCAUAAAGGUACCCCUACGAUCACAGGAGGGUGAGGGUGGAGGGUCUUUCCCCUCCUGUGACUAGUCAAGACCAUGAUAACUCCUCGGGUGGCCACCCAUUAGGGAAUUAUGGGGAAGUACCCUCUUCGAUAAUUACGACUGGAGCUGGCCCAAAAAAAAAAUUCCCAUGACGGGUUCAUGUUCUCAUCAAAUAUUGUGGAGCCCAAAAAGAUGCAGAACUCAUUCUGAUCAGCUAGUGUUCAGCCCAAUCUGCGCAGGGUGGCUUGAAUAGCAUUAUCGCAACAGCCUAUCAGUUUAUUAUUAAAUUGAUUUUGACCAUAAGAAUUACUUAAUUAUUGUCUACUGUCCUCAAUUUGAAAAAAGGAGAAAUUUUUGGGACCAUAUUUAUUUUGAUCAAAACAUUUAGGACCACUUUGGCACAUGAGCCAAACACUAGAAUAAUGAACUGAACUUCUCCCAGUAAAGAUAUCCAUUUCAAGCUAAAAUUUUGAUAUGCAUUUUAGGUAGGCCUGUCAAUCGGGCCUAAUGAGCCUGACUUUGAUGAGUUCAAACUCAACUCAUUUAAUUUGAAACAUUUUCGGGAUUCGGGUUAUGAGUUUCGGAUUCAUAAAUGUGAAGUUCAUACUCAACUUACAUAAUAUUCGGGUUGUGAACCUUAAUCGGGCUUAGCCCAAGCUCACUUAUUACUCCUUAAUUUUCUUAAUAUAAUUACUAUAACUAUUAAGUUGUAAAACUAAUUUAAUAUUUACAAGACUAUAAUAUUAACACUAAACAUGAACAAAUAAUAGUUCUUAAAAAGUAUAUAAACCAAAAAAUUUUUCAACAAUAUUUAUAUUUAAUCCGUUCAAAAUGCAUGAAAAAUAGUAAUAAAACAUGCGAUCAUAAGCCAUACAUCUUUAAAAGUUGAAACUUUUUUUAUAAUCUUGUGAUUUAAAUCCAAAUAUGUUUGAUGAUUUUUGUGUUUGUAGACCAAAAAAAAAAUCAACCAAUAUUAUGCCAGUACAAAAAUUUACUCAACCAAUAAGAAAAAUUAAAGAUUUAGUUAUGCAUUACUAAUAUUGGCUAUCAAGAAAGCUCAUGAAAGAGUCAUUAAAUGUAUUUUUGUGUUUUGUAAUUUAUAUAUAUAUUUAGUAUUUAGUAAUAAUAUAUUUCGAUAUAUAAUUAUACAUAAUAUCAAAAUAUAAAUAUUAUAUAUAUAGGUAACUAAAGGGCCGGGCCUAUAUCGGAUUUGAGCCUAAUAAAGCCCAAGCUCGGCUCACAUUUUAAUUCGGGCCUAAUUUUUAGGCUCAAGCUCAGACCAGCUCACUAAAUGAUCGGGCUCAUCGGGCUUUCUGUCGGGCCAAAUGAGCAGAGUUCGGGCUAGCCCAACCCUAUUGACAGUCCUAAUUUUAGGUAAUAUUGAUAUUUUCUUUCAUUUAUAUCAAGAGGAGAGGGUGCAAACGUCAUUUCCUAUUGUGAUCAAAUAUAUAAUAAUAACCAUUAGGUGGAAUUUAAUAAUCAUAGCUUCAAAACACUUAACUAUAGGUGGCAAACGAAUUCAUUUAGUCAAAUUUAUCCAUACUCGCCCAUGAAUAGUUGGAUAUGGGUAUCUUAAGUUUUUACAUAUGGGUAUAAAUAAAUUAUCCAAUAAUAUCCAUUUAAUAAAUGGGUAUAAUUGGGUAACUUACCAAACUCAAUUAACCAAUUUAGAAUUGUCUUCUCCAAACGUCCUCUCUUCCCCCGCCCAUUUAGAAGAAAUUUGAGGCUUGUGUUUGAUUAUUGAACUCAUUGUUGGAGACUUUUAUGCAUUAAUAUUGCUCAAACCUUGUAUAUAAUGGAAUGUUUUAUUUUUCAAGCUUAACAAAUAUUUGAUCCAUUUUUGACGCAGAUAGAUAUCCUAUUUAUUUUUUUCAGAUUCUUGAUUUUGUCAUGAUGUUAACUACUUUUGUUGCAUUUAUUAUUAUUAUUUGUCGGUUUUAUCUUAUCAUUUUAUUUUCUUAGAGCUUGUUAACUUGUUCAUUUUUCAACAUUACCAAUUUAUGACAAGUUUGAACCUCCUUUCCUACCUUUUCAAAAUGAAAAUUUAAAUUUACAGUCGAAAAAAAUGUUAGGGGUUCAAGGUUUUUGGAUUAAGUUUUUAUGUUAACUUUCAUAGUAUUUAGUUCAAAUUUUUAUAUUCUUAUUGUUCAAUUAUUAAAUAAUAUGUAAUUUUGGGACAUAAGGCACGGAUGGGAAAAUUUGAUAAUUAUGCUUAUUGAACAUUAUAAAUAAAUAUUUAAAACUAAUGGUAGUGCAAAGGGUAGUAUAAAUUGAUAAUUUAAUUUGCAAAAAUGAAUUUAAAUGAGUUUACAAAAAGUUAAAAUAAAUGGGUUAUAAAUGGAUAAUUGGGUUAUCCAACUCUUUUUUUAACUUGUCCAUUUAUGCUCAUCUAAUUAAAUGGGUAUAAAUGAGUUGACUCAUUUAUACCUAUUAUUCAUUUCAAUUUGUCCAAACCGUCCAAAUCACCCAUUUUGAUACUCUGUACUUUAGUGAUAGCAUUCUUUGCUUAGGAAGUGUGUCAAUAAUGUAUGACUGAGUCAAAUCAAUACUUUCAAUUUUGUAUUAGUAGAGGUCAUUACCAUUUGAUAAAAAAUGCAAUGAUGCAUGACUAAGUCAAAUCAAUACUUUGUCAAAUUUUCGCAUGUUAAAAUUGUCAAAUCAAUACUGUUAUAGUGCUGAUCAUGACUAUGGCUAUUAUUAAAUUUGCACAUUCCACACGUACAGAAUUCAAAUCAGAUACUUUCAAUAUGAAGCAUGCUGUCUUUGACGCCUUGAUCCUUUCUAUACGGUAUUCAAUUAGCCAUUAAUGUGAUUAGGGAAGGAAUAUAGGCAUCAUUGAUUCUAUUGUAGAGCCUAACAUAAAUUAAGUGAUUCACCUUUGCAUCAUAAAUUCUAAUUUGCAAAUAAAUCACUACAUAAACUUGAAAACAAUAACAAAAUUAAUCGGGCCCUCAUUUUAGGGUUUCAAUAAUGAAUUUACUUAUUUCCAAUAACCACCAAAAGUAAUUGACAAAGUAAGAAAAUAUUAUCCAGAAAAUGCAGAUGCAUACCAUUUAUUUUGUAUAUGAAGCUUUUUUGAAAUUGCAAGACUGAAAAAAGCUAGUAAAAGAGUAUUUUGUUAAUUUCUUAUAUAUAUAUAUUCAUCUCUAUGCAUAGGAUGUUAUGGCAUAGGUUUCAAAACACAUAUCAUGAUUACAUGUGCUCUCAAAAUUCAGUAUUAUCAUUCAUAACUACGUUUUAUUUAGAAGUCGCUUGAGUUUACUUUCUUCAUUAAUCAAGCCAAAAAUGAAUAAAUCUCAUUCUAAUUAAAUUCCAAUCUACAUUACUGAAUUCUACUUAAAAGUCUAUACCUAUUAGAAAGAAACCUCAAAUCUGAACUAAGAAACAAGACUGCAGGCGUGAAUGUAAUAUAGCAGAAGUGACUUAUUCUUUCCAAGCCUGAUGUUGAAUGCCAAGUCAAAGUCUCUAGAGGCUUUAAUAGUUUGAGUAGCACUGCCAGCUCUAUAUAUCUACUUGCAACAUAUGCAAAAUGCAGUGUAUUUCUUCCAACAUUCAUAUGAUUAUGGGUGGAUUAAGGCUUUUCUCUGAGUUCUUACUCAUCGCAGCAAUUUUACUUUGUUUUCCCAGCAUAAAUACUGAUGCAACCUGCAUCACAAGUGAGAAACAAGCUCUUUUAGACUUCAAGAAAAGUUUGAUAGAUCCUUCUGGUCGGCUUUCAUCUUGGAACGACAAUGUUGAUUGCUGCCAAUGGCAAGCAGUUAUUUGCAGCAACAAAAGUGGCCAUGUGAUUCAACUUCGCCUUCAAAAUCCUGUUGACGAUCUUGAAUUGGCAAUAAGUGGUAAUAUUAAUCACUCUUUGCUCAAUUUGACACAAUUGCGCCACCUUGAUUUGAGUCUAAAUGAUUUCAGCGGACUUCAGAUUCCAACAUUUUUAGGGUCUCUCAAAAGUUUAAGGUAUCUAAAUUUAUCUCAAGCUAGAUUUCAAGGAAUGGUUCCCUAUCAGCUUGGAAACCUCUCAAGUUUACGCACUUUUAGUGUCGUUGGAGAAUUUUGGUCUUCUCUCCAUUCUGACAACCUGCAAUGGUUGGCUGGCCUCUCAAAUCUGAAGCACUUAGAGCUGAGUCACGUGGACCUUAGUCCAGCUUCUAAUUGGCUACAGGUGAUUAACAUGAUCCCUUCUUUGGUAGAGAUACGCUUGUCCUCUUGUCACUUGUUUCAAAUUUCUCAACUCAUCCACAGCAACUUUUCUUCUCUUACUGUCUUAGAUCUUUCUGGAAAUGAUUUCAGACAUUUCAUACCUAGAUGGAUUUUUUAUCUUCCUUCCCUUGCUUCUCUUGAUUUAAGUAAGAACUUGUUUCUGGGCCCAUUGCCCAGAGGUCCUUGGAACAUGACAUCUCUCAACUGCUUGGAUCUUUCUUCAAACCAUUUGGACGGUUCACUGCCGGAUGAGCUUAUUCAUCGUAACAAUCUCAUCUCUCUCAACCUUCAAGGAAAUCAAUUUGAAGGUUCCUUGGAUGGAAUUCAGAAUUGGAGUUCCCUUGUAUCUUUGAAUCUAUCAGAUAAUCACUUCACUACCAUUCUCCCAAACGUAUUAUUCACUUUAAGUUCCCUAGUUUCACUUGAUCUUCGCUCCAAUCAGUUUCAAGGUUAUAUCCCAGGCUCUAUUGCCAACAUUUCCAACCUUCAAAAUCUUGAUCUAUCUCAUAACAAUCUUAGCUCCUCUUUGCCAAGUGAACUAUUCACAUUGAAGGACUUGGUUACAGUCGAUGCAGGUGGUAAUCACUUGAGUGGACCAAUUCCGAG